rnacentral:rRNA from 1 species
AGUGAACGCUGGCGGUAGGCCUAACACAUGCAAGUCGAACGGCAGCACAGUAAGAGCUUGCUCUUACGGGUGGCGAGUGGCGGACGGGUGAGGAAUACAUCGGAAUCUACUUUUUCGUGGGGGAUAACGUAGGGAAACUUACGCUAAUACCGCAUACGACCUACGGGUGAAAGCAGGGGAUCUUCGGACCUUGCGCGAUUGAAUGAGCCGAUGUCGGAUUAGCUAGUUGGCGGGGUAGAGGCCCACCAAGGCGACGAUCCGUAGCUGGUCUGAGAGGAUGAUCAGCCACACUGGAACUGAGACACGGUCCAGACUCCUACGGGAGGUAGCAGUGGGGAAUAUUGGACAAUGGGCGCAAGCCUGAUCCAGCCAUACCGCGUGGGUGAAGAAGGCCUUCGGGUUGUAAAGCCCUUUUGUUGGGAAAGAAAAGCAGCAGGUUAAUACCCCGCUGUUCUGACGGUACCCAAAGAAUAAGCACCGGCUAACUUCGUG